rnacentral:rRNA from 1 species
UCGCCUGUUUAUCAAAAACAUUGCCUAAAGAAAAAAAUUCUAGGUAAAGCCUGCUCAAUGAAAUUACUUAAAUAGCCGCAAGUAGUUGCGCAAAGGUAGCAUAAUAACUUGUUCUUUAAUUGAGAGAUAGAAUGAAAGGUUUAACGAGGGGAAAACUUUUUCAAGAUAAAACAAUUGAAAUUAACUUUUAAGUCAAAAGGCUUAAAUAAAUUUGAAGGACGAGAAGACCCUAUAGAACUUUAUUAAAUAUAAGUUUGUACUAGAUUUUGAAAAUGAACGAACUACAAAUACAAUAAUAAUUUGACUGGGAUAGUAAAGCUAUACAAAAAAUUAGCUUCAAAAAAUUAACACUUAUAGGUGAAUAAAUAAGAACCAAUCUUGAUUUUUAAAAUAAGUUACCUUAGGGAUAACAGCGUUAUCUUUUCAAAGAGAACAAAUCGAUGAAAAACAUUGCGACCUCGAUGUUGGAUUAAGGUAAAAGAAAGGAGUAGAAACUUUUUUUAAAUGUUUUGGUCUGUUCGACCAUUAAAACCUUACAUGAUCUGAGUUCAGACCGGA